rnacentral:rRNA from 1 species
AACGAACGCUGGCGGCAGGCCUAACACAUGCAAGUCGAACGCCCCGCAAGGGGAGUGGCAGACGGGUGAGUAACACGUGGGAACCUUCCCUGUAGUACGGAAUAGCCCAGGGAAACUUGGAGUAAUACCGUAUACGCCCGAAAGGGGAAAGAAUUUCGCUAUAGGAUGGGCCCGCGUAGGAUUAGCUAGUUGGUGAGGUAAUGGCUCACCAAGGCGACGAUCCUUAGCUGGUUUGAGAGAACGACCAGCCACACUGGGACUGAGACACGGCCCAGACGCCUACGGGAGGCAGCAGUGGGGAAUAUUGGACAAUGGGCGCAAGCCUGAUCCAGCCAUGCCGCGGGAGUGAUGAAGGCCUUAGGGUUGUAAAGCCCUUUUGGCGGGGACGAUAAUGACGGUACCCGCAGAAUAAGUCCCGGCUAACUUCGUGCCAGCCGCCGCUGUAAUAC